rnacentral:ncRNA from 1 species
GGUUAAGUUAAUAAGGGCGCGUGGUGGAUGCCUUGGCACUAGGAGCCGAUGAAGGACGUGACUAACUACGAUAAGCUUUGGUGAGCGGUAAGUACGCUAUGACCCAGAGAUUUCCGAAUGGGGAAACCCAACUCGAAAAGAGUUGUCGCUAUCUGAAUACAUAGGAUAGACGACGGAAUACGCUGUGAACUGAAACAUCUCAUUAGCAGCAGGAGCAGAAAGAAAAAUCGAUUCCCUAAGUAGCGGCGAGCGAACGGGGAAGAGCCCAAACCAACGUGCUUGCAUGUUGGGGUUGUAGGACUGAUAAAUAAGAGUUACAAAAGUGUUUUAUAGCAGAACAAGUUGGGAAGCUUGGCGAAACAGGGUGAUAGCCCCGUAAGCGAAAUAGAGCACACUCUUUUCAGGAUCCUGAGUACGGCCGGACACGUGAAAUCCGGUCGGAAUCUGCGGGGACCAUCCCGUAAGGCUAAAUACUCCCUAGUGACCGA